rnacentral:rRNA from 1 species
CCAGACUCCUACGGGAGGCAGCAGUGGGGAAUAUUGGACAAUGGGGGGAACCCUGAUCCAGCGACGCCGCGUGAGUGAAGAAGUAUUUCGGUAUGUAAAGCUCUAUCAGCAGGGAAGAAAGAAAUGGCGGUACCUGACUAAGAAGCCCCGGCUAACUACGUGCCAGCAGCCGCGGGAAUACGUAGGGGGCAAGCGUUAUCCGGAUUUACUGGGUGUAAAGGGAGCGUAGGCGGUUUAGCAAGUCAGAAGUGAAAGCCCGGGGCUCAACUCCGGGACUGCUUUUGAAACUGUUGAACUAGAUUGCAGGAGAGGUAAGUGGAAUUCCUAGUGUAGCGGUGAAAUGCGUAGAUAUUAGGAGGAACACCAGUGGCGAAGGCGGCUUACUGGACUGUAAAUGACGCUGAGGCUCGAAAGCGUGGGGAGCAAACAGGAUUAGAUACCCCAGUAAA